UCCCUGGUGGCUGAGAUGGUAAAGAGUCUGCCUGCAAUGCAGGAGACCCAGGUUCAGUUCCUGGGUGGGGAA
rfam:TPA: Bos taurus chromosome 14, whole genome shotgun sequence.